AGUUUCAUUUUCAUUGCUGCUUAUCAGGAGCCGAAAAUUGCACUCCUGUAAUAAUUGUUGUUUUUUAAUAAAAAUGGGAGCCGCACAGUCGAUCCCGCCAGAAAAUAAAGUGAAAAGAAUCAAGACAAUAAAAUUUUAUUUGCAAGACAAUGAACAUUCCGUCAAAACUGAAACCGUGUCACCCCUUCGACAUCCUUAAACGAAUACGUUCGAAACUAUUUAAACCUCACAGGCACUAAAGGGAUGUGUUACGAGGGUGGCUGUAGAGCUUGUGUUGUCGUUUUACAAAACACAGACCCGAUU